rnacentral:misc_RNA from 1 species
AUUUUAGGUUGCACUCCAUGGUUUCCUCAUUGAUUUCAAACACAGGUCCAGUCUUCAGAAAACGUUUACAUUUGAAUUACUGAGAUAAAUUCAAAAAUCACAAAAUGGACUAUAACGAAAAAAGGAAGAUAAAACAGCUUAUGAAAGAGAAAGUGGCAGGAAAGGAAGGAACCAUGGAGUGGAUGUACAAACAAAGUAAACCUGAGAAUGAAGACUACCUGCUUGGAAAACGUGUGGACAAACACAUUGAAGAGGCAGUGGAAACAGUUAAAGAUGAUGACAUUGCUUUAUUUAAUGAGAGAAUUAAAGCCAAUAUUCAACUUGAUAUGCAAAACAAGGCACGAGAGGAUCCAUUGUUUGCUAUCAGGUAAAAAACUCUCUGUACAAUCAGCUCUAUCUAAAUUACCAGAAAGCGGGAAGAGGAUGCCAAGAAAAAACUUCUCGAAAAUCCUGUGAGAAUGAAACAGUUGCAAAAAAAUUUGGAAAAGCAGAAAAAGAAAGCAAAAAAGAAGCAAAAAAGCAUUUCUGAUGAUUCUGAUGAUGAUCUAAUGAAAAAGUACCUAAACAUUCUCAAUAAGAAGCAAGGAGGGUCUGAGAGAACAGAUAAACAAAAAGGAAAACACAGAGAAGACCGUGAGCUAGAGAAGCAUUCAAGACAUCAAAAUGAUUCUGAACAUCACAGGGACUCUAGGUCUCAGAAAAAAUACAAAAAGAAAGAAAGUGAUGACUCGGAUGAUGACGACAGACGAAGAUCAAGCAGCUCAAAUCAAAAUAGGGACUCUUAUUACAGACAUCACCCCUCAAAAGGGGAUAGAUACAGAGAUUCAGCUGACCAUGGCAGAACAAGUAGUAGAGAUUUCUCAGGGAGGACAGGACAAAGAUAUGAUGGGUAUGAUAGGAGAAGGGAUCAAGACCGAAGACGAGGAAAUGAUCCUAGAGAUGACAGUGAUCCAGAUCAGAAUCAUCACAGAAGACCGUCAGGCAGACAAAGCAAUAGAGAACGACAAGAUUCAUCAGACAGUGAAACAGAGAGUAGAAACAAGAGAGUGGGAAGAGACAGCUACCGGUCAGAGAGGAGAUCAAAAUCUAAUGGGGGAACUAGUGAAAGAGGUCAACAAAGUGUUAGACAGAGGAGACAGGACUCCUUGGACUCGGAGUCUGCAGCCAGAGACAAAUUUCAGGGGAAACAAUCCAGGAAAGGAAGAAGACGAAGUAGUUCUUCAGACAGUGAAGCAGUUAAAAAACUUAAGCAUAGUAGAGAUUCCAAUAGAACAAAUAAAUCAAAAAGACAAGACUCCUCUGACAGUGAAUCAGAGUCUGGUGGGGCCAACAAAAAGAAGAGUGAGAGGAAACGUGUAUCACACCAACAAAGGCAUGAUUCUUCAGAAUCUGAAGACAGUCCACCAGCAAAGAGGAACAAGCCACAGAACAAGAGGACAGAGAGUUCCAGUAGCUCAAGUUCAGGCAGCGAGAGUGAAACUGAAAGAAAACCCAUCAAACAGUAUGGACUCAUUAAGUUAAAAACCAAUGACCCACCUAAAGGAAACACCAAAUCUCCUGAUCAAGGAAAGAGGGAUGAAAUAAAGAAAUCUAGAUCACCAGACAGAAAAACAGAAAAGUAUUCCAGAUCAGAAAAAAGGUCACGGUCACCAAGGCAACGAACAAGAUCUCCAAGAUCAAAGUCAGGGCUCAAGACUCAGAGGGGCAGAAGUAGAUCCCCAGUGAAAAGGAAGCUGACAGAUGAGGAGAAGAAAAAACGAUUGGAGGAGAUGAUGCAGAAUGCUCAGUGGAGGGAGGACCAGCGUAAAUCGAAUGUAAAGAGGUAUACGGAGGAGGACAGAAAGGAGGAAGAGGCCCUGAGGAGUAAACAGGAGGCAGAGUUCCUCAAUCCUUUGAUGUCAAAUCAUGCAGAGAAGAGCUCUGUUGAAGACAGGCUUAAAAGGAACAAGUACAAGCUACAGAGAGGGUCCGGUGACAUGGACAGGGGAUUUCUGAAAAAGUGAUGCAAUCAACAGUGGAAGUCAUUACAUGUCUACGUUUUUGUAGAUUGAUUUUCAGUCUCAUGGGAAUUGUCAUAUUUCAACAUUCAUUGAAUUACCAUAAAUUAUAGAUUUUUAAUUACCAUAUUGUAUGUACAUAUUAAAUAUUGUCAUUAAAAUACAUUUACAUUUAC